rnacentral:rRNA from 1 species
ACGCUAGCUAUAGGCUUAACACAUGCAAGUCGAGGGGAAACGGCAUUAUGUGCUUGCACAUUUUGGACGUCGACCGGCGCACGGGUGAGUAUCGCGUAUCCAACCUUCCCUCCACUCGGGGAUACCCCGUUGGAAGACGGCCUAAUACCCGAUGUUGUCCACAUAUGGCAUCUGACGUGGACCAAAGAUUCAUCGGUGGAGGAUGGGGAUGCGUCUGAUUAGCUUGUUGGUGCGGGUAACGGCCCACCAAGGCUACGAUCAGUAGGGGUUCUGAGAGGAAGGUCCCCCACAUUGGAACUGAGACACGGUCCAAACUCCUACGGGAGGCAGCAGUGAGGAAUAUUGGUCAAUGGACGUAAGUCUGAACCAGCCAAGUAGCGUGCAGGAUUGACGGCCCUAUGGGUUGUAAACUGCUUUUGUUGGGGAGUAAAGUGAGGCACGCGUGCCUUUUUGCAUUUACCCUUCGAAUAAGGACCGGCUAAUUCCGUGCCAGCAGCCGCGGUAAUACGGAAGGUCCAGGCGUUAUCCGGAUUUAUUGGGUUUAAAGGGAGUGUAGGCGGUCUGUUAAGCGUGUUGUGAAAUUUAGGUGCUCAACAUCUACCUUGCAGCGCGAACUGGCGGACUUGAGUGCACGCAACGUAUGCGGAAUUCAUGGAGUAGCGGUGAAAUGCUUAGAUAUCAUGACGAACUCCGAUUGCGAAGGCAGCGUACGGGAGUGUUACUGACGCUUAAGCUCGAAGGUGCGGGUAUCGAACAGGAUUAGAUACCCUGGUAGUCCGCACGGUAAACGAUGGAUGCCCGCUGUUAGCGCCUGGCGUUAGCGGCUAAGCGAAAGCAUUAAGCAUCCCACCUGGGGAGUACGCCGGCAACGGUGAAACUCAAAGGAAUUGACGGGGGCCCGCACAAGC